UUUCCGUAGGUGAACCUGCGGAAGGAUCAUCAUUGAAAUUUAUCAUGGUUAUUUUCAAGUCAGAUUGAGGGGAAAGUUAUUUCCCCUUUUUUUGGCUUGCAAACAACAUAGAUACCCAAAAAAUUUUCUAGAAAAAAAAAAAAAACAAAUUUUUGGUGGUUGCCUGAUAUAAAAAGUGUUUGGAAAAAGUGGAAUAAAAAAACAACUUUCAACAACGGAUCUCUUGGCUCUC
rnacentral:misc_RNA from 1 species